AACGCGUAUGCAACCUACCUUAAUCAGGGGGAUAGCCCGAAGAAAUUCGGAUUAACACCGCAUAAAAUCACAGUACAGCAUUGUACAAUGAUCAAAUAUUUAUAGGAUUAAGAUGGGCAUGCGUGACAUUAGUUAGUUGGCGGGGUAACGGCCCACCAAGACCACGAUGUCUAGGGGAUCUGAGAGGAUGACCCCCCACACUGGUACUGAGACACGGACCAGACUCCUACGGGAGGCAGCAGUAAGGAAUAUUGGUCAAUGGAGGCAACUCUGAACCAGCCAUGCCGCGUGCAGGAAGACAGCCCUCUGGGUCGUAAACUGCUUUUAUUCGGGAAUAAACCUGCUUACGUGUAAGUAGCUGAAUGUACCGAAGGAAUAAGGAUCGGCUAACUCCGUGCCAGCAGCCGCGGUAAUACGGAGGAUCCAAGCGUUAUCCGGAUUUAUUGGGUUUAAAGGGUGCGUAGGCGGCUUUUUAAGUCAGGGGUGAAAGACGGUGGCUCAACCAUCGCAGUGCCCUUGAUACUGAAGAGCUUGAAUGAAUUAGAGGUAGGCGGAAUGUGACAAGUAGCGGUGAAAUGCAUAGAUAUGUCACAGAACACCGAUUGCGAAGGCAGCUUACUAUGAUUUUAUUGACGCUGAGGCACGAAAGCGUGGGGAUCAAACAGGAUUAGAUACCCUGGUAGUCCACGCCCUAAACGAUGAAUACUCGCUGUUAG
rnacentral:rRNA from 1 species